rfam:Brassica oleracea var. oleracea cultivar TO1000 chromosome C2, whole genome shotgun sequence
GGAAUAUAAAAAAUCGUCUUUUAACUUUUAACUAAAAAAGCUAAGAACCGACUCUUGAAUAAGAUAUUUAAGAGUCGGUUCUUAGUUUUUUUUGUUAAAAGUUAAGAUACAGUUUUUUAUAUUCC